CUUCAAGGAAGCUCGUCCUUCGCCGACAGAGCUCCUCACAUAUGAAGACGCCAACGGAGACGGCCGGUUCACGCCUCGGACCGAUGCCAAGUACAAGCUGGGAAAGAUCGAGAUCACCGGCGCCGACCUGUCUCGAGCCAGCGCCCAGUUCGCCACGUCCGCCUCGGGGCAGAACGUCUCGAACCCGGGUUGGCGAGUGGUGUUCACCCUCAACCGCGAAGGCGCCAGGAAGUUCGGCGAGGCCACCAGGCGGUUGACCGGGAGACAGCUCGCCAUCGUCCUCGA
rnacentral:misc_RNA from 1 species